UACGUAGGGGGCGAGCGUUUGUCCGGAGUACUGGGCGUAAAGCGCACGCAGGCGGUCUGCUAAGUUUGGAGUGACAGUUGGUGGCUUAACUGCCAAAGUGCUUCGAAAACUGACAGACUUGAGGGCUUCAGAGGGACACGGAAUUCCGGGUGGAGUGGUGAAAUGGCGUAGAGAUCCGGAGGAACACCAAAGGCGAAGGCAGUGUCCUGGGGAGUACCUGACGCUCAGGUGCGGAAAGCCAGGG
rnacentral:rRNA from 1 species